rnacentral:lncRNA from 10 species
GAGACAUGUAUUUGAAUAUCUUUUGUACUAAGCUAAGCUAUUCAGGGUUUGGUCACAUGACAACCAAAUCAAAGCUGUUUUGGGGAUGUUUUUCUAAUUGCAUCAAACAUUACAAUUUACCUGAAAAAUUAUAGCAUUUUCAUUAAAAGUUGUUAUCCAUAUUCAAUCUUCAAAUAUCCCUCUAUGGGAAAGCAGGAGAUUUUUGAGUAUUUUGUGUCCAGAUGUAGCUAAUGUGAGAUUCAUAUUUUCAUUCUUUCUACCUUCUGCUCACAACCCCAACCCAACAACAAAUUUCUCUAUGAUUCCAGAGCCUGAUUCAGCCUGACCUUAUUUAGAAAAAUAAGGCCUUUCUACCUAUCUCCAUUGUCUCCUGCCACCCAAUCCAUUCUCUGACUGCCUCAUCUCCAGUAUCAGUUGAAGCCCUCCUUGGGGCCAUGAUAUUUAUUUGGAUCAGCCACCAACCUUCCUUAGGACACUCUUCUUUCCCCUAUUCCAUGUGGUCGGGUGGAACUGUCAAUCAUGGUGUCCUCUAGCUCCCUACACUGCCCCUGUCACCUCCCCCCGACUUGCUAGUACCUAUUCCAGGCUUGAGCCCAUUAUGUUAUUCUAUCUUCCUACACCAUAGUGAUUGGUUUCAGGGAGAAGCACAUGGACCAAGUAGAGACAAUCAGAGCUUUCUCUGAGAUUUAUAUAUAUAGACAUUGGAAGAGAGAAAUUCUUUUUUCUAUUCUUUUAUACUCAUUAAAACAGUUUAUUAAUUCUUAACUUUGUAUUAUGGACAAAUUUAAACAUACACACAAAAAAGAGUAGCAUAAUGAAUCUUUAAGAACCUAUCACCCAGCUUACACAGUUACCAACAACUAAUAUUUAUUGCCAUAUGUUUAGUUUUCCAGAUGUACUAUUCUUAUAUCUCUAUGCCUUUGUACUUACCGUUUCCUACAUGUUUCAUGUUUCUGUAUUUCUCAUUUGCUUGCUCUUAGAAUAUUAGGUGUUCCAGUCAAAGUCACCCAGAUUUGCCAAAAGACCUGGCACAAAUGUCACUUCCACUAUGAAGUCCCACUGACUUCCAUAUACAAGUCACAAGUGAUGAUGCCCCAUCUGGAUUGGUAAAGAACUCACAGCAAGAAAAAUCACUGAUGUGGAAAAACUCAGGACAGCAUUCUUUUGCUGACCACUUACCACUUUUGCACGUACCCAGCAGCCCACUGAAGUGCUUGUACCUGUGUGCCUGGGGAAGGUGGGGAGAAUAUUUCUUCUUUUACCCCUCCAAGGUCUGUAUCUUUAUUACUUUGAUAGUUCCUGCCUUAGUUUAGUUCACCAUCACCUCUCGUCUGGAUUAUUAGGAACUAUUCUUAAUAUACAUCCAAUCCACCCUCCACACUGACAUCUGAGUUCUCAUUCUCCAAAUGCAAGCCUUCAUUGACUAGCCAGUGCCUUCAGGAUCAAGUCAAAAUUCCUAAAUGCAGAGGAGCCCUAACAAACUAGACCCAAGUGUCCCUUCCAGUCUCAUCUUCCAGCACCAUCACAUUGUAUGCACAAGGCACCGUGUAUUUGCUCCUCUUGGAAGAAAAUCCCUCCCACUUCUGUGACUCUUUACCAGCUCCCUGCUCUCCUCCAGCCAGAGAAAAGCACCCUUUCCCUUUCCUCUACCAGGAAAAUCAUACUCAACUUUCAAUACCUAGUUCAAAUUUCAGUUGCUGUGUUCAAUAUGUUAGAGGCAGAACAGGAAAAUGGGAAAGAGUAAGGAUUCUGGACACUUGUGCUCCUCCAUUGAUCACAUUUGUAAGAUUGAGUGACUUGUUUAACUUCCUUAAGCUUCUGUUUUCUUAUAUGUAAGUUGGAGAUUUAACAGUAACUACCACAUCAGGUUAUUGGGAGGAUUAAAUGUGACAAUAUUUCUAAAGCACUUAGGACUGUGCCUGGCAUAUCAGAAGUACUUAACAUGUAAACAUUAACUAUUAUUCUAGUUUUGCUGACAUUUUCUCAACCCAGUUAUAUUUUGGCUUAACUGACUUUAAGAAACUUAAUUUAAUUAAUUUAUUUAUUUUUGAGACAGGGUCUCAUUAUGUUGCCCGGGCUGGGGUGCAGUGGCUAUUCACAGGCACCGUCCCACGACUGAUCAGCAUGGGAGUUUUGACAGAG